rnacentral:pre_miRNA from 1 species
UAUGUACUUCUUCCGUCCGGAAAUACUUGUCAUUGAAAUGGAUGCAUCUAGAUGUAUUUUAAUUCUAGAUACAUCCAUUUUCAUCCAUUUUGAUGACAAGUAAUUCCGGACGGAGGGAGUAUAUU